AUUGAACGCUAGCGGGAUGCUUUACACAUGCAAGUCGAACGAGUGGCGGACGGGUGCGUAAUAUAUCGGAACGUGCCCAGUAGCGGGGGAUAACUAACCGAAAGAGUGGCUAAUACCGCAUAAUAUUUGAGCGGCCGAUAUCGGAGUAUCUAGUUGGUGGGGUAAAGGCUCACCAAGGCAACGAUCCGUAGCUGGUUUGAGAGGCCGACCAGCCACAAUGGUACUGAGACACGGCCCAGACUCCUACGGGAUGCAGCAGUGGGGAAUUUUGGACAAUGGGGGAAACCCUGAUCCAGCCAUCCCGCGUGUAUGAGAAGGCCUUCGGGUUGUAAAGUACUUUUGGUAGAGAAGCGGUAUCUGCAGAAUAAGCACCGGCUAACUACGUGCCAGCAGCCGCGGUAAUUC
rnacentral:rRNA from 1 species